rnacentral:rRNA from 1 species
UACGUAGGGUGCAAGCGUUGAUCGGAAUUACUGGGCGUAAAGCGUGCGCAGGCGGUUUUGCAAGUCUGGCGUGAAAUCCCCGGGCUCAACCUGGGAAUUGCGAUGGAGACUGCAAGGCUAGAAUCUGGCAGAGGGGGGUAGAAUUCCACGUGUAGCAGUGAAAUGCGUAGAGAUGUGGAGGAACACCGAUGGCGAAGGCAGCCCCCUGGGUCAAGAUUGACGCUCAUGCACGAAAGCGUGGGGAGCAAACAGG